AUGCAGCCGGACCUACCGGAACCGCCCCGCCCUCUUUGGGCCUCGUCGGCCGCCGUCCGCCCAUUCUCAGGUGAACACGUAUCCCUCCGCCGCGGCCGCCCCUCGGCCGGGCUCGCACCCGGCAGUCCCCGGAUGGAAACUGUGAUGGCGGCCGGCAGCGCCUCGCCGGGCAGCGGCGGUACCCGAGAACUUUUUUUAGUAUUUCUUCUGACUGUGGCCUUUUCUGAGUCUUGCAUACUUACCUCUUCUGUGUGUGUGGAAAAAACCCAGCUGUUGAAGAAUUAAGUCAAGUAUUUUUUUAACAUGAGAAUGAAAUGGGAAAGUUGUAGAGCUUUGAGAAUAACUCGGGACAGUUGUCUCAUUUGCUGCCGGAAGUAAGACUAAAUCUCAAGAAUUCAUGUAAA
rnacentral:lncRNA from 1 species